rnacentral:rRNA from 1 species
AUUUACCACAACGUCUUCUCAUUUGGUCCAACUCAAGAUGGACCUAAGCAUUUGGAGCUCUACUUCUAUGAUGAUGAUCCCAGUUUACAACAUAGGUUUCGGCGCUCCCCAAACCUAGACCGAGAUGUCAUUCGUAAGCUUGUCGACAUCCUCAAGGAUAAUCCUUAUUCUGAGACAUUCAGGAAUCUAGGUGGAGUCGAUGACCUUGAGGAAUACCGUAUUGAACUAAACACCGACAUGAGGUUGGACCAACGGAGAUAUAACUUGCCUAUAUCAUCGGAGGUUGCGGCUAUUUGGGUUGAGGGUAAUGAACUAUGUAAGCACUUUGAUCGUAGCAUAGUACUAUUUGGUAAGGACAACAAGAGAUAUAGCAUCCAGCCAUAUUAUGGAUGCUAUGAUCCGUUGUCUUACCCUUUAUUCUUUCCAAGAGGGGAGAUUGGUUGGCAUCCCGAAAUCCCGAAGAAUGGCGUCAACUUGAAUGAGAUACUUCAAUCUCGUCGCACUGGUCGACAUAGUCUAGGUAAUUCAUAUAACGGAAAUAGCAUGUGUUCAUUUUGUUUAUCCUCAUUGUACUUACUUUUCUUAAUAUUUCCUCUUGUUACCUCUCAUUUCCAUAGGUACAUAUACAAAUAG